rnacentral:rRNA from 1 species
UACAGAGGUCUCAAGCGUUGUUCGGAUUCAUUGGGCGUAAAGGGUGUGUAGGUGGCGAGGUAAGUUUGAUGUGAAAUCUCCGGGCUUAACCCGGAAAUGGCAUUGAAUACUCUCUCGCUAGAGGGUUGGAGGGGGGACUGGAAUUCUCGGUGUAGCAGUGAAAUGCGUAGAUAUCGAGAGGAACACCAGUGGCGAAGGCGAGUCCCUGGACAACUCCUGACACUGAGGCACGAAAGCUAGGGGAGCAAACAGG